rnacentral:rRNA from 1 species
UACAGAGGGUGCGAGCGUUGUUCGGAAUUACUGGGCGUAAAGCGCACGUAGGCGGCUUUGUAAGUUAGAGGUGAAAGCCUGGGGCUCAACUCCAGAACUGCCUUUAAAACUGCAUCGCUUGAAUCCAGGAGAGGUGAGUGGAAUUCCGAGUGUAGAGGUGAAAUUCGUAGAUAUUCGGAGGAACACCAGAAGCGAAGGCGGCUCACUGGCCCGAUACUGACGCUGAGGCGCGAAAGCGUGGGGAGCAAACAGG